AAAGACUUAAUUCUUGGUUUUUCAUGUCCAACGUUUGACUGUUCAUCUUAUAUAAAAUUUUUUUAUAAUUAGUAUAUUUAUUAUUGUUAGAUGAUAAAGCAUGAAUAAUAUUUUAUGCAUGACUUAUCUUUUUAAAUUUUUUUAUAUUUUUUAAAUAAGACGAACAGUCAAACGUUAGAGACGGAAACUCAAG
rfam:Oryza meridionalis cultivar OR44 (W2112) chromosome 8, whole genome shotgun sequence.